rnacentral:rRNA from 1 species
GUCCACGCCCUAAACGAUGAUGACUAGUUGUUGGGGAGUUAAAUCCCUUAGUAACGCAGCUAACGCGUGAAGUCAUCCGCCUGGUGAGUACGGUCGCAAGAUUAAAACUCAAAGGAAUUGACGGGGGCCCGCACAAGCGGUGGAUGAUGUGGUUUAAUUCGACGCAACGCGAAAACCUUAACCUACCCUUGACAUGUGCGGAAUCCUGCAGAGAUGCAGGAGUGCCCGAAAGGGAACCGCAACACAGGUGCUGCAUGGCUGUCGU